GACGAACGCUGGCGGCGUGCUUAACACAUGCAAGUCGAACGAUGAAGCUGGAGCUUGCUCUGGUGGAUUAGUGGCGAACGGGUGAGUAACACGUGAGUAACCUGCCCUGGACUCUGGGAUAACCCCGAGAAAUCGGAGCUAAUACCGGAUAGGACCUUGGAUCGCAUGAUCUGGGGUGGAAAGUUUUUCGGUCUGGGAUGGACUCGCGGGCUAUCAGCUUGUUGGUGAGGUAAUGGCUCACCAAGGCGUCGACGGGUAGCCGGCCUGAGAGGGUGACCGGCCACACUGGGACUGAGACACGGCCCAGACUACUACGGGAGGCAGCAGUGGGGAAUAUUGCACAAUGGGCGCAAUCCUGAUGCAGCAACGCCGCGUGCGGGAUGACGGCCUUCGGGUUGUAAACCGCUUUUAGUAAGGAAGAAGCCGCAAGGUGACGGUACUUGCAGAAAAAGGACCGGCUAACUACGUGCCAGCCGCCGCCGUAACAC
rnacentral:rRNA from 1 species